UCCUCUGUCCCGUGCGGGAGCAGGACGAGGAAGAAGAAGACAGGGGCCAGGCGGGCCCUCUUCUCAUCGCGGGCCCCGCGUGGCAGCCUCAGCCCCGUUGACCCAGGUACGCUGACGUGGAUAAGUGGAGGCGUAAUCCACAGAUUACGUCUUCGUUUCCCGAAAGCAUAGUUUCGUCUUUCUUUAGACCAGAAUGCGCUUUCGCUAAUCUGAAAGCGUAUUUCUUUUCUGUUUCAGCGUGGAAUGCGUUUUCCAGAGGAGAAGGCGUAUUUCUGCCUAGUGCACAUUCUGUUUUUCCGGCUGAGGGCCUGUUUGUGAUGAUUUUAUUACAAAUGGGUCCCUGGCAGAAAAACUAUCAUAUCUUUUCACUCCCAACUCCAAAUGAGGUGAAUCCAAAGCCCACUUCUUCGUUUCGUCGAGCCCGUUCUGAUGGCAUCAUUUUCACCAUGUUUUGACAUUCUGAAAAUGACCAUUUUACCCCUGCCCUUUUUCAGCCCCCUUCGAGAGAGUACGUUUACCGGUGAUUCUUUCCGCGAGCCUCUCACACUUCUUCUCGGAGAUUUCUGCCACCCCAGGCAAGCCACACCCUCCAUUUGCAUGAUUGCAAUGCAGUGACAUGGUUUAUUCAUUUGAACUUGCUUAAAAUAUUGCAUUAGCUAUGUAUGACUUGUUCAUGCCAUUUCCCGGAGUAUUGUUUUGAUCUUGAUAUUGCCACGAUGUUGCUUGGAGUUCUAGGAUUAAUAUUUUGAUGAUUAUGUGGAUGACAUGUGCCUUUGGAUUCUUAGUGGUUAUUAUGAUUAUUUUUCAUGAUGGUAUCUGUUAUUAUAUUUUGGAGUAUUACUUUGGAUAUCAUGCUGCCUUUGGAUUAUUAGUGGUUAGUAUGAUUAUUUUCAUGAUGCUAGUUGAUGUUCUGUUGCUUGGAGUAUUAUUUUCGGAGAUGAUGUUUACAUGUGGAUCUUAGCCGAAUAGCUUUAUUCUUGUUAUUGGAGUAGUAGGAUUAUUGUUUUCGGAUUCAUCAUGACCAUAGUGUUGUGCUACCCUUGGAGUAUUUUGAGAUGAUGAUAUUAUGCGUGGAUUAUUUGUUGGAUAUUGCUAUGAUUUGGCUUAUAGUUUGAUAGUUGAUAUCGGAGUAUCAGUUACCACAGUUAUAUUUUGGGGAUAAAUUCCGUCAUUAAGUUGGUCAGGUGCCACCGAACCGGGCUUUUUCGAGUGCAACCACAUUUGCCUUUUAUGGGAAGGCCCUAAUGCGGUCUAUUGGCGUGCCUCUCGUCGGUGCCUCCAACUAGGGAAGGUUAUGGGCAUGCUUACCCUGGCCCGGUAAGCAGACAUAACCUUGUGUGCCCGUUGUUAUUGUUAUGGAUCCGGUCCCCGUGAGGGACGUUUUGGCCACGACGGUGGUCGUUGUGUGUUUGGUAGACACGGGGCCACCCAGGACUAGCCCAGUUGGGAGCGGGUCGGAGUGGCCGGGAGAGUGUCAUGGCAGUAGAUCGGUUUUGUCGGAACGCCGUUGGUCCACCCGAAUGGGAGUGCGAGGCCAUGGGUUCCGUGGUGUGGGUAAAGUGCGCUACCUCUGCAGAGUGUGUGUAUUUAAAUCUAUCGAUAGCCACGUCCUCGGUCAUGGGCAUGGGUUCGUACUAGGUCCCACCGUUCGAUCAACACUCACAUGACGGAAUGACUUGUAGGUGAUUUAUAUGAUGAUAUAUUGUGAGCAGUAACAGUUUGGCAGGAUGUUGAUGAUGAUGUUGGAGACCAAGUGUUGGUCAUGGUUGUGAUCGCCGGAAAGAUCAUAGUUUGAGACCAAGUGUUGGUCAUGGUAGUGAUCGCCGGAAAGAUCACCAUGUGGUUUUGAUCAUGAGUUGAUCGAGAUGGUAUAUUGCUUGGCCGGUUAGCCACGAGAGAUAUGGUUAUGGAGAUCUGAGAUGGUGAUUUAUCAGCAUUGUAUUAGUUUCAUCUCAUGCUUAGUAGUUGCUUCAUCAUGGUAGUUGUUAAUUAAUUAACCUGCUUAAUGCUAUGUUAUUGUCUUGCCUUGAUGUUUAUGGUUGUUGUGAGCUUGCAAGUACAUUCAAUGUACUGACCUGGCGUGUCAUGCCAGAUUGCAGGAGAUGCCGUGAUUGCUUGAUUGCUUGUCGAGGUUGCCAUGCGUGCGAGCUAGAUCGUGUCCCAGCCAGAGUCCCUGCGGAGUGGAGUUCACCACCUUCGUCAUUGUUCCGCUGCUAGAAGUUUUCCGCUGCUACGAGUUGUUUCGCUGCUAGCAUAGAGCAAGUGUAGUAUCGCUGGCGUAGUGUCGCCAAGCUGAUGUGCUUCUUUGUAACAUCAGACCCUUGUAUUAUUAUUCUUGUAAUAAGAGCUGAUUUGUUCUAUGUCAAGCAGUGCCGUAUUCCAGAGACUUCUCCUCGAUCUCUGGGCUGGAAUACGGGGCGUUGCGGUUUCUCUGAGCCAGGGUGCCACAGCCUUGUCUUCUCCUGUUUAUUGAAUGCUUGCAAAUUCCAGCUUAGUCCAAUGCACGUGCACUAUUAUUAUUAUUCACAUCGUUCGGUCGUGCAAGUGAAAGGCAAUAAUGACGAUAUAUGAUGGACUGAUUGAGAUGAGAGAAGCUGGUAUGAACUCGACCUCUCUUGUUUUUGUAAAUAUGAUUAGUUCAUCGUUCCUGAUUCAGCCUAUUAUGAAUAAAAAUG
rnacentral:lncRNA from 1 species